rnacentral:rRNA from 1 species
UAAGCGCACUGGAAAGUGCUCUUGGACUCAAAAUGUAGUUUAACAAAAACAUUUUGUUUACACCGAAAAAAUACUCAUUGAACUGAGACAUUUUGAACAAUAAUGUUAGCUUAUUCCCCCUUAACCUACUGCAAACUAAAACAUUUUUUCACUUUAGUAUGGGCGACAGAAAAAUUCACAUUAAAGCAAUAAAAACUAGUACCGCAAGGGAACACUGAAAAAGAAAUUAAAUAAACCAUUAAAGUAUAAAAAAGCAGGGAUUAAUCCCCGUACCUUUUGCAUCAUGACCUAGCUAGUCUCCACGGACAAAAAGACACUGGCCCUAAACCCCGAAACUAGGCGAGCUAUUUAAAAGCAGCUUAAUAGAGCUAAUCCGUCUCUGUUGCAAAAGAGUGGAGAGACUUUUAAAUAGUGGCGACAUACCAAUCGAGCCUGGUGAUAGCUGGUUGCUCAGCAAACGAGUUUUAGCUCCUCCCUGAACCUUAUUAUAAUUACCCACAAUAAUAAUAAAAGCUCAAGAGAAAUUCAAAAGAGGGACAGCCCUUUUGAAAAAGGAUACAACCUACAACAAUGGGUAAUGAUUAUAACAGCCCUAAAGGCUCAUGAUACAGUAAGCCUAAAAGCAGCUAUCUAUAAAAAAAGCGUCACAGCUUGAACAACUCAUAGUCCACCAAUACCAAUACUCAAUCAAAACCCGAACUAGCACACUGAGCUUCACUAUACACAUAUAACCGAACUAAUACUAGGACUAGUAAUAAGAAAAUUCAUUUUUCUCUUCCGCACUCUUAUAAAUCAGCACGAACUAAUCACUGAUACUCACCAACCAUAACCCCGCAUGAUAAACUAGCCCCACAUUCAAACCCCCACCGUUAACCCUACACAGGAGUGCAAUAAGAAAGACUAAAAGAUAAAAAAGGAACUCGGCAACAAACAAACUUCGCCUGUUUACCAAAAACAUCACCUUUAGCUAAACAAUCACGUAUUAAAGGCACUGCCUGCCCACUGACAUUCUUUUAACGGCCGCGGUAUUCUGACCGUGCAAAGGUAGCAUAAUCACUUGUUUUUUAAAUAAAGACUCGUAUGAACGGCAACACGAAAGUUUAACUGUCUCCUUUAUCCUGUCAAUAAAACUGAUCUCCUGGUACAAAAGCCAGGAUAUAACAAUUAGACGAGAAGACCCUAUGGAACUUUAAACACGCACCCACCCUAUCCCCACAUCUGCCAAUAAACAACCAAAACUUGGGCCCGCUGUUUUUGGUUGGGGCGACCUUGGAGAAAACCAAUCCUCCUAGAAACUUAAAACUUAGUAAGACAAUACAACAGCACUAAUAUUAUGACCAUAUGACCCAAUAUAAUUGAUCAACGAACCAAGCUACCCUAGGGAUAACAGCGCCAUCUUCUCCAAAAGUCCAUAUCGCCGAGAAGGUUUACGACCUCGAUGUUGGAUCAGGAUACCCAGACAGUGCAGCCGCCGUCAAAGGUUUGUUUGUUCAACAAUUAAAAUCCU